AACCUCUCUGGGUUGCACCUGGAGAGUUCCCAGUACCCUACCAGUCUCGACUACGGGAGGAAAAGUCAAGCGGAGGCAUAUCCAUUACAAUCCUAGCUUGGGCAGUGGCUAGCGAGUGGAAGAGAAUCUGUUACAGGU